rnacentral:ncRNA from 1 species
UAAUAGUAGUAGCAAGGUUAAAAGCCCUAGCGAAAGCGACUGGAUAGCAAAUCAAUUGUCAUAUAACAGGCAUUGAAAUCUAUGAUGGAUAAGUUACUACUAUUAGACUCGAAGCCAGGUGAUCUUACUUAGGCCAGAUUAUAAUGGAUCGAACGGGUGAAUGUUGCAUAAUUCUCCGAAGAGUCUAAGUAAGCGGUAGGCAAUUUGCCGCACUGGGAAGUGAUUCC